UGCUUUGAAGAAGAGAAGACCGACUUCUUCGUCUUCCUUACAACUUACGAAUCGCGACCAACUCCACCAGCUCCAAUUGUCUACCUCUUCUACUUCAACACCCUUCUAUCUGUUGCCGGAAAACAUGGGGAUUCAUCUGAAUUUCAACACAGAUAGCUGAAGAAACCGCGGACAUAGCUCUUGACUACAAUCCUAGCAACAACAAAGGAUGAAACUGGGAAAGCAACAAGAACAUCAGCGUUCAACAACAUCAAUAAGAAGUAAGGCAGCCCAUUUUGUGUCUGAUCUUACCACCGUUCUUCUUAAUCCAAUAUCUGAUAAACCCUCAUCGAAUUCCUCUCCUCGUUCUGGCGAUGUGAGUAAUGAACCAAGGAGAAACACACAACAAUGUAAUCAAGAAGAAGAUGUUCCAGUCUUGGUUGAUGGGCCAGAUACUUCCUCCUUCACCGCAUUUCUCUACUCAUUCUUAUCACCAGGAAGAUCAGAAAACGAGUCUGAAUAUUCAAAAUGGAACGACAACCAAGUGGUAACUAGCUACAAAAAUGACACAUCAUCCCCAAACGUUUCAAAAGAAAACAAUGGAAAGAAAGGUCUAUUCUCUAAGGGCAAACAGCCACUCGGCAAGGCUCUUUCACAAGCUGCUAUGUUUAGUGGGUAUCGAUCUCAUGCAUCUGGGAAAGUAAACACUGAAUCAAAGAUUGAUGACAUGAAAGAAACAAGCUCUCAAUUUGACACUAAUGAUGGGGUUCCUGUACAAAAUGUGAUUGCAUCUUUUCCUUCUGAUAAACUUCCAAAAAUGUCAAAACCUUCACAACUUAUGACAGAAGAUAAACGUUCUGAUCUUUAUGUUGCACUCCCUGUUCUUAGUCAAGGAAAGAAAUGGGUCUUAUUAUACAGUACAUGGAGGCAUGACAUAUCUCUUUCAACCUUAUAUAGAAGAAGCAAUCUUUGCCCUGGGUUAAGUCUGCUGGUUGUUGGAGAUCGUAAAGGUGCAGUGUUUGGUGGUUUAGUUGAGGCACCUUUGAAACCAUCAACAAAGAAAAGAUACCAGGUUUGUUUAAUUAUGAUGGUUUUUUAAUUAUA